GGCUGGGUAGCUCAGUUGGCAGAGCAAGGGACUCAUAAACCCUAGGUCGCCGGUUCAAUCCCGGCCCCAGCCA
rnacentral:tRNA from 1 species